AAGAAAUGAAAUGCCCGAGGGAAGCUUCGUGUUCCCGUGGGGAUGCUUUCGGCGCGUGCAGCUUCUGAGCUGCACCAAAACUUGAGGCUCCCACAGAAGCUUCCGGGUGCUGGAAUUGCCUGUCUGGACGUGUGCUGAGCUCUCGCUGCUGUGGACUGUGCAGCAUUAAUUGCUGCAGGUUCCUGUUCUUCUCACCAGCUCAAAGUCACCGGCGAGCCUGGGACAAGACCUGAGCCAGAACUUGUUGGGCCCUUGCAGAGAGAGAAGCAGUAAAUGGUGUUGGAGAGUUUUUGGGAGUGCUGUCGUGUCUGCUGCAUUGGGUGUCCCAAGGAAGGCUGGAUUCCUCAGCAGGAGUCUUAGGAAUUGGUGCUAAUUCUGCUUUUUCUGAAGGUGUAUCCAAGGAUGCUACCAAAAUGGCUGUUUUCUCUGCUGAAAAGCUUUCCCUCUAUGACAUCAAUGCAUGCAUGUGUUUUAAUCAUGUAGCCAGAUGUACUAAGAAUUGUACUUUCAAUGCAAACACCUGCAGUAGGUCUCUGUUUGGUUUGUGUCUGCGAGAGGUGGGAUUUGUGCUGGAGAGGUGCUCUUGAGUACAAAGGACGGAGUAAAUCGGCUCCCUGGUUGUGCAGUGAAGGACUGACUUGCAGGGAAGGGGAGCAUUUAGAAACUGCAUCAAUAUUGCCCUGAAAUUCUGGGUAGUUGGAGUUGGCUUGGGCCUGUCAGGGUGAGCCAUAAGCAACCCGAGCAAGCCCCUGAAGCCUCAAUGGGUGUUUGAAACACUUCCACAGAAAGCCAAAGCAGUAACGAUUCCAGAGGAGAAGUUAUAGGUGAUUGCUUAUGAUCGGUGGGGAAUUUCCUUGGCAAUUAUUAACCUUGGACAUAGGGCAUUUUGGAGGUGGAAUUCCAGUUUCAGCCACAGGCACCUGGAUGAGAAGGAGAGCUCUUUGCCAGAGGAAGGGAAGUAUUCUUUUGCCAGUUAGUGCUGUUAGUGAAGUGAUCA